GAAGACCAAGGGUUCCUGUCCAACGUUAAUCGGGGCAGGGUAAGUCGACCCCUAAGGCGAGGCCGAAAGGCGUAGUCGAUGGGAAACGGGUUAAUAUUCCCGUACUUCUUACAAUUGCGAUGGGGGGGACGGAGAAGGCUAGGUGGGCCUGGCGACGGUUGUCCAGGUUCAAGUGCGUAGGCUUAAGAGUUAGGUAAAUCCGGCUCUUUUUAAGGCUGAGACACGACGUCGAGCAUCUACGGGUGUGAA
rnacentral:rRNA from 1 species